AAAACUUUCAGCAACGGAUCUCUUGGUUCUGGCAUCGAUGAAGAACGCAGCGAAAUGCGAUAAGUAAUGUGAAUUGCAGAAUUCAGUGAAUCAUCGAAUCUUUGAACGCACAUUGCGCCCGCCAGUAUUCUGGCAGGCAUGCCUGUUCGAGCGUCAUU
rnacentral:rRNA from 2 species